CGGCGGCGGGCCGAGGCGCGGCCAGCGCACAGCCUCAGCCGCCGCGAAGCCAGACCCCAGCCCUCGCCGCGCCGCCGCAGGCCCUUACAAGACAGAUACUGUUACCCCAGGCCCAGAGAGAGUGAGACACCCACCCGGAUCACACUUUCAGGACUGGGAGGCAGGAUUUAAUCAGAGGUCUCAUGCCAGGAGGGCCCUCUUCCCAUGUGCUGGUGCACUGGCUUGAAGCAAUCCAAGGCCUGAGAGUCACUGCAAAUAGAAGAGACACACACAGAGAGAGAGAGGCAGAGACACAGGCAGAGGGAGAAGCAGGCUCCAUGCAGGGAGCCCGACGUGGGACUUGAUCCCAGGUCUCCAGGAUCACGCCCUGGGCUGAAGGCAGCGCUAAACUGCUGAGCCACCCGGGCUGCCCUCUCCACCCAGCUUUGAAGUCAAAAUAGGCAAGGUUUAUGCUGCCCUUCUUUGUGGCACAUUUACUUUUUUGUUCACCCUUAUGAUUGAGUCGGGCUGUUUGAAUUCCAACUUUAUGUAGGGAAUCUCCUAUUAGUCUCCUCACCCUGGGUGGGUCCAGGGCUUAUCUCGGGGCUCCUCUAUUGCACUAGGCAUUCAGAUUGAUAAUGCAGAUUCACCUGGGGUUUGGUUUGACAGACACUCUUAAGGCAAAAGCUGACCUCAAUCUCAUUGCCUCCUCAGAAUUACCGUACUCAUAAUUUCUUACUUUCUUACCAACUCAAUGCAUUUGAAAAGGUACUUUCUAUUUUUAUCCAGCUUCGCAAUUACUUUCAUUGGGAUGUUUACCAUCAUACUCCAUGUCUGGAGGUUUGGAUAUUUUUCUAAACGACCCUUUCACUGAGAUGUGUCCACUGCAGUGGGACCUUGGAGGGCUCCCAGUUGGUGAUACAGAGAUCUCAGUUCCAAUUCCUUCCCUUAGACAGGACUAAUACUUGUCUUUUCUCUUGGAUGCGACAACCGAAGCUCAAGGAUCUAUAUUGCCAACCAGGGUUUGUGAACACCUUUAGAGGAACUGUGGCUUCAGCACCCAUUUGGCCAUUGGGGAUUAUGGACACCAAUAAACUGUGUAGACUCAUGAUAUCUGUAGAGGCCAUGUAUGCAGAGAAAACUAAAGGCUGUUUCUAUGCCUCUUGGUAGCUUCACCUUCUUGUGGACUUCCAUGUUUCAUUGCUUCUUCCUCAAGGUGAUUCCACUUGCACAGCUACAGCUAGGCUCCCACAUGUAUCUUCCAUGGGCCAGGUGCUCCCCAGCUCCACCUCACCUCUCUGAGGCAGUUGAUUGCCAUCCUUGCGGUCCUUCUGCAACUUGUUACAGUCAUGGAGCUCUUUGAGAAUCUGGUAAAAGCUACAGACAUGUCCCCAGGAGAAUUCCGUGCCAGCCAGAAUGUCGAGGACCAUGACAGGGGUUCCUGAUCCUCUGCCUAGACCAUCAAGCACCUGGUGAUUUGUCUUCCUAGAGAUGGGGAUGGGGUCUCAGGCUUCAGCUGUGGUGGGUGUGUGCUUCCUUAGGAGAUCAUAUGAUGUGCACAUCCACCUGGACCUCAUCAGUGAGCUUCAUGCUCUGUGCUUCUGAUAGAUCCUUUCUCUCUUUGUUUUCAUAUAACCAAGUGCUUGUGUUGCCAAUGGGCCUACACAGUGUAGGUCUAAAGGGAAGCUUUUGUUUUUUCCUUUCUACUGGGAUUUCCUAACUGCAUUCAGUGAACAGGUCCUAGGGCCACCAUUGGUUUGACUCUGAUUUGUUUCAAUCCUUACCUGAGUUUAGACCUGUGCAAGGAGUCCAAACCUCCGGACUCCUGAGAGGCUCAGAGGUUGAGUGUCUGCCUUUGGCUCAGGGUGUGAUCCUGGAGUUCUGGGAUUGAGUCCCACAUCAGGCUCCCUGUGAGGAGGCUGCUUCUCCCUCUCCCUCUCCCUAUGUCUCUGCCUCUCUCUAUGUGUCUCUCAUGAAUAAAUAAAUAAAAUCUUUAAAAAAAAAAGGAGUCUGAACCUUUAUGGAUUUUUUCUUAGGUGAGUUUUGAUAAAUACAAGCUAACAAUCUGCCUCUGUGUCCGUCUUGGUCUUUUGGCAACUCUGCAUUUCUGAUUUGGCCUUUUUCUUAACGUCUUUGAGCUAGUUUCCAUCUACAAAAUGAGGGACUAGACUGGAGUAGAUGUACUUAAACCGCACUUCU